UUAUAUUGCAGAGGAUCUCACUCUGAAAAUUAGAAUUCACUCUUCCUCCUCCUGCUUUGUUACUUGAUUCACGUUGCAAAUAAAAGAGAAAUUUUAGCGUAUUUCAAGAUCUUGUAGUUUCACAGGACUGAUAUCCACUGGCACCAUCAUAACCAAGUUUGGGCUUGGGUGACCCCUUCUAUCAUGGCGAACAGAACUUGAGGUACAGGCUGACCCAGAUCAUCCCACCUAUACCUGGAUAUUGCAGAGAUAUUUAUUCAAAUGGAAUGCGCACUCUUCUUUUUGUAUGAGGAUGACACA